UACCCUCGCUCGGCAUGACUAUUGUAGUGUAAAAUUUGUGCAAAAAGAUAAGUUUGGGGUGGUAAUCCUUAGAAGAAAUGUUGGAAAAAGGGCAAGUGCAAGAAAAAGAAAAAGAAAAACUGUGUAGAAAUAUCUGCUUCUACCGGAAGAAAAAAAAGAGAAAAAGAAAUGAAAAAAAUAGAGAAAUAAAGAAUAAGCACUUGCCUUGGAAAUAGACUCAUGCAUUAAUGUGAUACUCU
rnacentral:lncRNA from 1 species